CAAAGAUUAAGCCAUGCAUGUGACUGAU
rnacentral:misc_RNA from 1 species